UUUGUCACAUGUUGUGGUAUGUGACAGUUUAUUGGUCACAAAUAGGGGCUAUAUCAUCACCAGUAAUAGCCACUAGGGAACCUACAGUCGACGCCCAUGUUGCACUUUGAGGGGAGGAUCUGGGCCCUCUGAAUUUGUUUGAAUACAGCACCUCCCCCAAUGCCAAAGAUACCACCGAGCUUGCCUUGGAUCACUCCCCGGAUAGCAUCGCAGCGACAAUGUGGUGCUAUCUGGCUCAGCUGCUGGCAACACUUCUCCCGAACCUCAUGCUCACAGCCUCCCUUCCACCACUUCGUGGGCCAGGUAACUGGAAAAUCCUUCAUCGUGAAACACCGCUCCAUCACGUAAUCCUUGCAAGAACCUAGGUUUGGCCGCUCUUGUGGGCAUUGUUGAGAACCACCUCCUCCACCAACGUCAUUGUAACCACCACCAACUGAGUAUUGCGCGGAGGUUGUGCUUGCUACAAGAGCAAGGAGAGCUAGGAGGAAUAAGGUCUUCAUGCUUUCAAUGUUUAUUUGGUGUUGGUGAAGAUGAAUAGAUGGGUUGAGACUUCCUAUUAUUUAUUGCUAAGUGACACGGUUUUUGCGUUCCAUUGUGUGCUGCUUUGGCUAAUGCUUUUCUUUGGCUAAUGCUUACAAACUUAGUUGGCACUAAUUAAAGUUACUUUACAAGCAAACAGAAAUGGUGCAAGUUGUUGAGAUAGAUGACAUUUCGUGUACUAAAUGUAACCUUUUUCAAGAUAGACGGCCAGAAAUAGUAUGUUGUACCAAAGGUCGACACUUUACGCUUUUGUGAACUGGCCACGUAGUGUUGUGCAAAUUGUUGAACAAGGAUCCAAACAAAUUUAAAGCAAUGCAUCUACAUGUCAUCCUCUUCUAGCCGUGGGUUUCUCUUUUGUAUCUAGAAUCAUGUCAGCCAUGGUUUUCUGUUCUGUAUCUAGAAUCAUGUAAUGUUCAGAUCUUUACUCCCUUAGCUCGGGUUUAUUAGGACAAAGAGAGAAAACUCAAUUACCAAUAUAUAUUUUUUGGGGAAAUGAGUGCAUGCACCUUUUUAUUGCUAAUUAAUCUGUUUGGCGCAGCUCUCCGGUCUCCUUGGCCUCGUGUUGGUGUUUGGAGUGAGACUGCAUGGAUGGUGGCGCAACUACGCUAGCGUAUGGUGUUAAGCGGUGGUUUGGCUGGUCGGCUCCGGUUGGGCUCCGGCAGCAGCGUCGUUGACGUCGCAUCCCUUCUUGGAGGUGCUGCUUGGCACGCAUCGGAUCGAAGCCUCGGGCUGUGGUGGUUUAUCUCCGGAAGGCGCAACGAUGGCGGAUCUUCCGCUCUUUUUCGAGCUAACGCUGUUGGCAUUUGUUCAUUUUUCUUUUUUUGGGCUUGAUGUGUUGUUCGUCCUAGCAAUGUCUCUACACGAUGUUGGUUGCAAAUAUGCAAAGCGAGGGGAAACCCUUUCUCGGUUAAGUAUUAAACAAGUCUGUAUAUUUUUAUAAUUGUUAAAGGAGCACAAAUAUGCACACAACCCACCAUCAACAAACUCAUACACAGGUAUCUCCAACACGGGCCAAUAUACAAGGGGAAUUUUAUUCAUAGAUGAUUACAUGACCUCAUUGAUUUGUCACAUGUUGUGGUAUGUGACAGUUUUUUGGUCACAAAUAGAGGCUAUAUCAUCACCAGUAAUAGCCGCUAGGGAACUUACAGUCGGCGCCCAUGUUGCACUUUGAGGGGAGGAUUUGGGCCCUCUGAAUUUGUUUGAAUACAUCACCUCCCCCAAUGCCAAAGAUACCACCGAGCUUGCCUUGGAUCACUCCCCGGAUAGCAUCACAGCGACAUUGUGGUGCUAUCUGGCUCAGUUGCUGGCAACACUUCUCCCGAACCUC
rnacentral:lncRNA from 1 species